rnacentral:rRNA from 1 species
CCUACGGGAGGCAGCAGUGAGGAAUAUUGGUCAAUGGACGUAAGUCUGAACCAGCCAAGUAGCGUGAGGGAUGACUGCCCUAUGGGUUGUAAACUUCUUUUAUGCGGGGAUAAAGUCCUCUACGUGUGGAUUUUUGCAGGUACCGUAUGAAUAAGGACCGGCUAACUCCGUGCCAGCAGCCGCGGUAAUACGGAAGGUCCGGGCGUUAUCCGGAUUUAUUGGGUUUAAAGGGAGCGUAGGCCGGUGUUUAAGUUUGCCGUGAAAUUUUGUGGCUCAACCCUUAAAGUGCCGUUCGAACUGGAGGCCUUGAGUAAGGGGGAGGCAGGGGGAAUUCGUGGUGUAGGGGUUGAAUGCUUA